rnacentral:rRNA from 1 species
GAUGAGAGUAGAAAGUUUUUUAGACGACUAUCAUCGGAACUCGAGUUCGUUCUUUCUAGUACUCACGGUCCUGUCCUUCCCUGAUUAAUAACGUGAUAGUCGAAGGGUGGAGAAACUCCUCUGUUCCGCUGUAACCAUGUGUUCAAAGUAGGAGAGCAAGUCAAAUUGACGUUCGUGAUGACAAUGACAGGGAUCGUUCGUCACCUCAAACCCCGAUGUUCGUGGAUGUUCUUUACGGAGCACCCGGCCGGCCGUUGUACUCUCAACGACGACGAAAAGAGGGAAACUACUAUGUAAGAUAAGGGCGCAGGAGAAAGUGUACUUAUUACAUUUCCGUAAAGAUCGAUCGAAUGUGUUGUCAAAAAACAACCC